ensembl:ncRNA F11D5.20 ncRNA
AUGUUCAAAUUCCUGUUAUGCAGAAUAGCAUGGCUGGCGACAUAUGUGUCGAUAUGAUCUUGAGCCGAUCAUACACACGUCUCGACAAGUGGCUGGCAGAUGCAUUGUCACUCAGUGCCCCCCUCUUCAAUUCACUGU